rnacentral:rRNA from 1 species
AUUGAACGCUGGCGGCAGGCUUAACACAUGCAAGUCGAGCGGGGUGAUGGUGCUUGCACUAUCACUUAGCGGCGGACGGGUGAGUAAUGCUUAGGAAUCUGCCUAUUAGUGGGGGACAACAUCUCGAAAGGGAUGCUAAUACCGCAUACGUCCUACGGGAGAAAGCAGGGGAUCACUUGUGACCUUGCGCUAAUAGAUGAGCCUAAGUCGGAUUAGCUAGUUGGUGGGGUAAAGGCCUACCAAGGCGACGAUCUGUAGCGGGUCUGAGAGGAUGGUCCGCCACACUGGGACUGAGACACGGCCCAGACUCCUACGGGAGGCAGCAGUGGGGAAUAUUGGACAAUGGGGGGAACCCUGAUCCAGCCAUGCCGCGUGUGUGAAGAAGGCCUUAUGGUUGUAAAGCACUUUAAGCGAGGAGGAGGCUCUUUUGGUUAAUACCCAAGAUGAGUGGACGUUAUUCGCAGAAUAAGCACCGGCUAACUCUGUGCCAGCCGCCGCAGUAA